rnacentral:lncRNA from 1 species
AACAAUUCAUCUUAUACAUUAAAAAACAAUAACAAUAAUGACACAAAUAACAACAAAAAAACAUACAAAAACAAUAUGAUGUAUAGUGACACAGAGAAAGUUUAUAACAGCAAUAGUAACAAUAAUAAUAGGAACGAUGAUAAAGGCUAUACAGAUAAAGAAAGGGAACCUUUAUAUAAUUUGAAUAAAAAAAAUAAUACUGUUAAUAAUAGUUUAUAUGGUUGUAAGGAAAAUAGAAACUAUAACAGUAGUGCUGCUACUAACUAUACUAACAGUAGUAACAUUAACAGUAGUAAUAUUAACAGUAGUAAUAUUAACAGUAGUAAUAUCAACAGUAGUAAUAUCAACAGUAGUAAUAUCAACAGUAGUAAUAUUAACAGUAGUAAUAUUAACAGUGGCUAUAAUAACAACACAAACAGCACUGUAAGAAACUUAAAAAAUAAAUUGAAUGAACAUGUUUAUAAUAACAGUUUAGUUAAUAAAACAAAUUAUAAAAACACAACAUACUCGGAUAUGAACAAUGAUAACAAUAUAAAUGAUAAUAACAAAAAUAAUGAAUCUUUAAAUGUCGUAAAAAGUAAUAAAUUUAUUAAAACAACAUUGCCAAAAAAUGUUAGGAAUAAUGUACAAGAUGUUAAUUACAUGCAUAAUAAAAACAAGUAUGACAUACAAAAUCAAGAUAGUAUCUCCGGUACGACAAACUUCAACAAAACAGCAACAUGUAACAACAACACUGGAAGUUAUAGAUUAAAUAACAAAGGUCUAUACUCUCUGCACCCAAAGACGACUGAUAUUUAUUCAAAUAUUAAAAAGAACAUUAACAAUAACACAAGUGCUUAUAAACAAGAAAACGUGUUAAAUAAUAGCGGCAGUACUGGUGCUAUUAAUAAUAACAACAAUAGUAACGUUAUAGGUACGUAUGACUAUUAUUAUGAUAUGAGUUCCGAUAUUUCGUUAAAUAGUAAUAAUUUCAGUAAUAAUAAUAAUAAUAAUAAUGGUUGUACCGGUAUUUUCAACAUUGGUAGUAGCAGUCACACCAGUAACAAAAACGUGAGCAUUCACAGCAACAGCAACAGCAACAGCAACAGCAACAGCAACAGCAACAGCNNNNNNNNNNAACAGCAACAGCAACAGCAACAGCAACAGCAACAGCAACAGCAACAGUAACAGUAACAGUAACACUAAUGGUAGGAUUGGGAUAGACAACACCCAUAGCGAGGUCAACAUCAAAAACUCUAAUGUCACUGAUAUGCUAUCAAAUUACCUGAAAA